rnacentral:rRNA from 1 species
GACGAACUGUCCUAACGUUGUUCGGAAUCACUGGGCUUAAAGGGCGCGUAGGCGGGCAAGCAAGUCCGGGGUGAAAUCUUUCGGCUCAACCGGAAAAGUGCCUUGGAUACUGCUUGUCUGGAGGGAGGUAGGGGCAUGUGGAACUUCUGGUGGAGCGGUGAAAUGCGUUGAUAUCAGAAGGAACGCCGGUGGCGAAAGCGACGUGCUGGACCUCUUCUGACGCUGAGGCGCGAAAGCUAGGGGAGCAAACGGG